rnacentral:tRNA from 1 species
GGAAGGGUGGCAGAGUUGGCUUAAUGCGGCAGUCUUGAAAACUGUUGGUCGUGUAACAGCGAUCCCAGGGUUCGAAUCCCUGUCCUUCCU